ensembl:lncRNA
GGCGGCGCUCCCGAGGCCCGAGCGGACGCGGCUCUCACGAGCACUGCGGGGCCGGCGGCUCGUCUGGGCAGCCUGCGGCCGAGUCCCGGCGGUCGCCCGAAUAGGGGCGGCACCGGAGGCAGGCGGGGCGUGCGAAUGCCGAUCCGAAAGCCUCGGGGACCGCGGAGGUCGGUUGGGGGAUGCCGGAGGCGGCUCAGCUGCGGGCGCACAUUCCACAGUUCUCUUUGCUGAAAGGGGGGACCAGAAUGCACUGAUGGGAAAGAGUUCUUCCGGGCUCCAAGGCGGAGCACCGGCCAGCACAUCUCCGGAGCGCGUUAGAAGGACUACACUCACGGUGCCGCAACUAGAGGCUUUUCCUGGCAGGGACGUUGGCCAGAAGGGCAGAGAGGGCGGCUUGGAAAGGUCGCGACAGAGGAUAUUCGAAUCUCAAUCAAAACAGUAAAGAAAAUUAAUCUGAGCACUCCCUUCGUGUAGGGUGAUGGAAGCUGCCAGGAGAAAGGGAAAAUGACAGCCUCUGGGAACCCCUAGACAGCCUGAGGCCAGUCUGCCGUGUGGAACAUGAACGGGCCGCGGCAGCCGAUCCAGGCUGUGCUUGCACUUCUGCUCCCGCCGCGCCCAGAACCUGUGAACCCGAGCUCUCCCGGACCCGCGGCCGUGGCAAAAGCCGCUUCAGCUCACCUAGCUGCAAACUUUGGUCGCGAAACGCUGGAAGGAGUCCCGUCCAGCGGGACUCCCCAAGCUGUGGAACGUUUCUCUCCCCUCCACUGUCUGCUGAGUCCAACUUGACAUGUACACUAGUACUUGUCGUUCCCUGUGGUUUUUCUGACUCCUGUUCCGUCGUCGAGUAUCCUGACGCAUUUAUUUUCAUGUAAAAGCGGGAUAGAGGGACUUUCGAAAGAAUUAGCCUUAUUCCUUAAAUAUUGGCCCCGAAAGCACUGUCCAUGUUUGACUGAACGUUUAAAACUGGUAAACCACGAAUAUUUGUACCUACGACGCCAGAUACCUCAGUAAAGUUUGAGGCAUUAAUAACAGUUCACUUCGAAUUAUAUAUUGCAUGACCUGUAAAGGUUGUUUGAGAAGGCCUUAAUGCAUGACUGAAUAACUUGUACUACCUAACAGGGAGGAAAAGGGCAUUUAUUUUAAACCUCCGUGUUCCCUAUUCUGUACUGGGCUAAAGAUGGCUUGAAGACUCUCUCACGUAGUUCUGCACUGUGAUGGCGUGUUAGGGAACAUCUUUUGUUUUUGAAUACAAUGGCUUUCCUUUUAAAAUAUGAACACUUAUUUUUAGGAAAACCUAGACCAAGGUCGGAGAAGGCAAUGGCACCCCACUCUAGGACUCUUGCCUGGAAAAUCCCAUGAACGGAGGAGCCUGGUAGGCUGUAGUCCAUGAGGUCGCUAAGAGUUGGAGACGACUGAGUGACUUCACUUUCAUGCAUUGGAGAAGGAAAUGGCAACCCACUCCAGUGUUCUUGCCUGGAGAAUCCCAGGGAUGGGGGAGCCUGGUGGGAGGCCGUCUAUGGGAUCACACACAGUCGGACACUGAAGUGACUUAGCAGCAGCAGCAGCAGCAGACCAAGAUAUUCAAAUGGCAAAGGAAAGCAGGUGACAAAAAGCUUCACUGUUUGAAUGACUGAACUAAAUUUAUUCCAAUUUGCUAUAUUUUUAUGACUGACAAUGAUUAUAGAUGUCAAGUUUGUAGCUCUAACAGUUACUACACUAUAAACUGACAUUUCCAGUGCCACUAUUUUAUCAUGAUUACUGUAUAAAUAAAGAAAAUAUCGAAUUUUCAGAUUUCAUUAUUGGUUGUUUAAGACUUCAUGUAAACAUAGAUCUCAUAACAAAUGUUUUCC